rnacentral:rRNA from 1 species
UACGUAGGGUGCAAGCGUUAAUCGGAAUUACUGGGCGUAAAGCGAGCGCAGGCGGUUUUGUAAGUCAGAUGUGAAAGCCCCGGGCUCAACCUGGGAACUGCGUUUGAAACUACAAGGCUAGAGUAUGGGAGAGGGGGGUAGAAUUCCACGUGUAGCAGUGAAAUGCGUAGAGAUGUGGAGGAAUACCAAUGGCGAAGGCAGCCCCCUGGCCUAAUACUGACGCUCAGGCUCGAAAGCGUGGGGAGCAAACAGGAUUAGAUACCCUGGUAGUCCACGCCCUAAACGAUGUCAACUAGUUGUUGGGAGAGUAAAAUCUCUUAGUAACGCAGCUAACGCGUGAAGUUGACCGCCUGGGGAGUACGGUCGCAAGAUUAAA